UGACCAUUAUAUUGUGAGGUGAUACAAUAAUUUCUCAUUUCAGGUCCACUCCCUCCUCGAAGAAUAUCUGAUUCAUUAUUCCUUUUGUGAAUUCUUCUUUCCAGCUCCUGCAGAGGAGGAUUCUGCACCCUUAUUAUCCUUGCGAAGAAGGCAAUAGAAGGCUAUGGAUUUUCUAGGGUGGGCACAUUUGCUGUCUGGUCUUCUGGUGCAACACUGUGAUUCACCUUUUGCUCUCUGGUUGUUGAAUUUUGGCUUUUGGCUGCUCGUGUAGUAUCGUCCUAAAUAAGUAGAUGAGUUAGAUGCAUUGUGUCCAUUUGUGCUUUGGGUAAAUAAAUGAAGAAACCUACAAAAAUAUAUAUUUUGUGCUCUGUGAUUUAUCUUGUAAGACU
rnacentral:lncRNA from 1 species